UACGGAGGGUGCAAGCGUUACCCGGAAUUACUGGGCGUAAAGGGCUCGUAGGCGGCCAACUAAGUCGGACGUGAAAUCCCCAGGCUCAACCUGGGAACUGCGUCCGAUACUGGAUGGCUUGAAUCCGGGAGAGGGAUGCAGAAUUCCAGGUGUAGCGGUGAAAUGCGUAGAUAUCUGGAGGAACACCGGUGGCGAAGGCGGCAUCCUGGACCGGCAUUGACGCUGAGGAGCGAAAGCCAGGGGAGCAAACGGG
rnacentral:rRNA from 1 species